UACGUAGGAUGCAAGCGUUGUCCGGAAUCAUUGGGCGUAAAGCGCGUGUAGGCGGCCCGGUAAGUCCGCUGUGAAAGUCCAGGGCUCAACCCUGGGAUGCCGGUGGAUACUGUCGGGCUCGAGUCCGGAAGAGGCGAGUGGAAUUCCUGGUGUAGCGGUGAAAUGCGCAGAUAUCAGGAGGAACACCAAUGGCGAAGGCAGCUCGCUGGGACGUGACUGACGCUGAGACGCGAAAGCGUGGGGAGCAAACAGG
rnacentral:rRNA from 1 species